rnacentral:rRNA from 1 species
GAUGAACGCUGGCGGCGUGCCUAAUACAUGCAAGUCGAGCGAACAGACGAGGAGCUUGCUCCUCUGACGUUAGCGGCGGACGGGUGAGUAACACGUGGAUAACCUACCUAUAAGACUGGGAUAACUUCGGGAAACCGGAGCUAAUACCGGAUAAUAUAUUGAACCGCAUGGUUCAAUAGUGAAAGACGGUUUUGCUGUCACUUAUAGAUGGAUCCGCGCCGCAUUAGCUAGUUGGUAAGGUAACGGCUUACCAAGGCAACGAUGCGUAGCCGACCUGAGAGGGUGAUCGGCCACACUGGAACUGAGACACGGUCCAGACUCCUACGGGAGGCAGCAGUAGGGAAUCUUCCGCAAUAGGCGAAAGCCUGACGGAGCAACGCCGCGUGAGUGAUGAAGGUCUUCGGAUCGUAAAACUCUGUUAUUAGGGAAGAACAAAUGUGUAAGUAACUAUGCACGUCUUGACGGUACCUAAUCAGAAAGCCACGGCUAACUACGU